ACGAAAGGUCGCAAGGCCUAGACCCUUCAAACCUGUGGAAGUGAGACGUGCUUCGGCAGAGUCGCUUUGACCUGCCGCAUUUAUGCUGUCUGGUGUUUGUGUCUGAAUUUCGAAAAGAAUCA
rnacentral:misc_RNA from 1 species